rnacentral:rRNA from 1 species
AUCGAACGCUGGCGGCAUGCCUUACACAUGCAAGUCGAACGGCAGCACGGGUGCUUGCACCUGGUGGCGAGUGGCGAACGGGUGAGUAAUACAUCGGAACGUACCUUAUCGUGGGGGAUAACGCAGCGAAAGCUGUGCUAAUACCGCAUACGCCCUGAGGGGGAAAGCGGGGGAUCGCAAGACCUCGCGCGAUUAGAGCGGCCGAUGCCUGAUUAGCUUGUUGGUGGGGUAAAAGCCCACCAAGGCGACGAUCAGUAGCUGGUCUGAGAGGACGAUCAGCCACACGGGGACUGUGACACGGCCCAGACUCCUCCGGGAGGCAGCAGUGGGGAAUUUUGGACAAUGGGGGCAACCCUGAUCCAGCAAUGCCGCGUGAGUGAAGAAGGCCUUCUGGUUGUAAAGCUCUUUUGUCAGGGAAGAAACACCGGCUCUAACACAGUCCGGGAAUGACGGUACCUGAAGAAUAAGCACCGGCUAACUACGUGCCAGCCGCCGCGGUAA